CAGAGGUCCCAAGCGUUGUUCGGAUUCAUUGGGCGUAAAGGGUGCGUAGGUGGCAUGGUAAGUCGGGUGUGAAAUCCCGGGGGCUCAACCCCGGAACUGCACUCGAUACUGCCGUGCUCGAGUACUGGAGAGGAGACUGGAAUUUACGGUGUAGCAGUGAAAUGCGUAGAUAUCGUAAGGAAGACCGGUGGCGAAGGCUAGUCUCUGGACAGUUACUGACACUGAGGCACGAAGGCCAGGGGAGCAAACGGGAUUAGAUACCCCGGUAGUCCUGGCAGUAAACGGUGCGCGUUUGGUGUGGGAGGAUUCGACCCUUCCGUGCCGGAGCUAACGCGUUAAACGCGCCGCCUGGGGAAUACGAUCGCAAGAUUA
rnacentral:rRNA from 1 species